AACGUAGGUGGCGAGCGUUAUCCGGAUUUACUGGGCGUAAAGCGUGUGCAGGCGGGGAGACAAGUGGUGUAUGAAAUUUCCCGGCUUAACCGGGAAGGGUUAUGCCAGACUGUCUUUCUGGAGUGCGAGAGAGGGGCGUGGAAUUCCGGGUGGAGUGGUGAAAUGCGUAGAUAUCAGGAGGAACACCAGUGGCGAAGGCGGCUUUCUGGACGGUAACUGACGCUGAGACGCGAAAGCGUGGGGAGCAAACAGG
rnacentral:rRNA from 1 species